AGGUGCGAUCGUACCAGCACUAAUGCACCGGAUCCCAUCAGAACGCCGCAGCUAAGCGUGCUUGGGCGAGAGUAGUACUAGGAUGGGUUACCUCCUGGGAAGUCCUCGUGUUGCACUUC
rnacentral:rRNA from 1 species